CUCCCUGGGCGAGCAGCCUCCGGAGCUCUCGGUAGGCUGGGAAAAAUCGAGCCCAAAUGGCCUGGAAAAGAUUCAUUCAAGUACGGUAAGGGAAGUCUUUUUGAUUUUUUUUUUUUUUGGUGGG